rnacentral:lncRNA from 1 species
UACAAUGCUUCUCUAUUCUUUGAGCUAUAUUUUCCAUGUAAUCUUUGAGGAAUCUAUUUGGAAAGUCUAAUUGCAUGGUGUUUUAUUUAAAUUUAAUCUUGAGUUUUUGUUGUGUUUGCUCGAGGACAAGCAAAGUCUAAGUUUGGGGGUAUUUGAUACGGUCAAUAUUUACAUUUUCAUGCUCUUUAGUUUAGAUUCUUGUUAUGUUUUUGAGUGAAUUUAGUUUGUUGCACUUAGUUUUAUGUUUUUCUUAGAUUUGAAGAGUGAAGAUGAAGAGAGAAGAAAAAAAGAGCAUUUUUGCAAUUAAAAUGAGUUUGGCAUGAUGGAAGCAGAAGCUGCUUGUGCAGAUCAGCCAACUUUAUGGAAUAAACUGUACCUCCUCAUAAUGAACCAGCUAUUGAGCCUUGUACCAUUGGAAAGAUAUGGAAGUUAGCUUUCAAAGGAAUUUUACGGUUCGUGAUUCCAAGUUUUCUAAAAGACGUUAUAGUGAUUCUUGUACCAGACGUCUGUCAGCAAGGUUUAAGCAGGAUUUGGAAAGAGAUUUCAGAUUUUCAAAUUUUAAUAAAAGGAAAUGAUGAGGCGAUAUUAUACUAUAUAUUUUACCCUAAUCUUAGUAUUAAUUUAUUGGUUAUUUUGGUAGAAUUUUGAUACUUUGUUAUGUAUUCUCAAUGUAGGAUAUUCGAUUUUCUCUGGAGCAGAAAGUGAUCAAACGGAUGAAUUUUGGAGUGAUUCCAAUUGGAGGAUGUUCAUGUGCCUUUCAAGAUGAUUGUAUCAAAAUUCCAGAUUUUUCUACUAAGCCGUUUGACCAUGACGAUGAAAUUAAGAUCCAGCGCGCAGCUUUCCCAGAUUGACAUUUCUGCACGUUUUGGGUAUUUUGAAGGUCAAAAUGGCAUAUUUUGAGUAAGUUUCCUUCUAAUGAUUUGUAGGGGACGUCUUCAGCUUUAAAAAGAGACCUUUUGGGACCAAAUCGGAGUUGAUUUGGUCAGUCAAAAGAUAAAUAUUUUGAGAAGUCCGAAUUUUAGUUUAAAUAGGAAACAUUUUAUUUUCUGUUUUUAUUAUUUUAUUAUGUUUCCUAGUUUUAUUCUAAUACCUUUUAGGGUUUUAUUUUGUAUUAGUAUAAAUAAGAUAUUUAGCCAUUAGGUUAAGAGGAGGGGAGAACACAAUACUUUGGCUUUAGAGGGCUUUUGACAAUUCAAGUUUAUUUUCAAGGUGUUUUCUAUCCAUGUCUUUAAUAAUACCUUGUUUUAUGAUUGUUCGUAACUAGUUUUGGCGGAGGGCUGUCCUUAGAAUUGACUAAGGCUUCUUAUGGUUAAUAUGUGUAACCUCUUAGGAUGAACGACACGUUUUAAGGGUUAUAUGGUUUUUCAAAAGCUUUUCACAAAACUUAAUGAGUCUUGCAUGUUCACAUUCGAUUUGGACGUCACAGACGAGUUCCAUGUUAGAUAUACGUUCUAUGUUGGAGGUUCCAAGUAGGGCAUACUUUAGGAAAACCUAAUCUUCAAAUAUGCAUGUGUAAGUCAUAUGUAAUUGGAAGAAUUAUGUAGAAUUGUUAAGUUGACGGUGAAACCCUAGUGCUUAAAUAGAUUGCAAAACUAUUUUCUUUUUGGUUUUCUUUACUUUGUCAAUUUAUUUAAUUGUUUUUAAUUAAAUUCAUUUUUAAUAUUUUAGGUCAUAAAAUCACCCUUUUCCAACUUUGUUUUCAAAUAAUUAAUUAAGAUUCGGUUUUAACAUAAAUUAUUCAUUCAAUCCUUGUGGAGAUCGACCUUGCUUGAGUUGCUACGAUAACCUUGUACUCUUGCAAGUAUUUUUAACUGUUUUUAUCCCUACUUUUGCAGGUGGUAAAAUCCCUAUCAGGAAACGUGCAGAGCAAAAGGAGAGCUAUUAGAAGAGGUCAAGACUAUCCUAAAAGGUUCAUAGUUAAUAUAUUUACUAGUUUGGUUUGCCACAUCAUCAAUAUACCAAUCCAAGUAAGAAGAGAAUUCAAGAGUCCUAUUCAAGUAAGAAUUUCAUCAUUUAUUCAAGAAUAAAAGAAGAGAGACAGAGGGACUUUUAAAGAAGGGUUCUUUUGGGGGGAUUCUCUACGUGUUUUUGGAAAAAGGAGCAGCCACCGAUGAUCUGAAAUAUUCUAACACACAAAUUAAACCUUAUUAAGAUAGUUGUAGUAUAUGAAAGUAGGGAUCGUUCUAGGCUGAGGAUUAACUAGGGCUGCUAAUCUACUUAAAUUAAACUCUAAAACACUAAACUAGACUUAAAAACACAAGACUAGACUCUAUAGACUCUAAACUAAUCUCAAACACUCAAAUCAGCAAAACUAGAUGAAAUUGACUCAAUUCUAAACCUAGCAAGUGGUUUGGACGAAAUUAAAACUUGAUUUGACUCAAAAGACUAAAAGAAAACAGAUUAUGACUUAACUAACUCAAAACACACUAAAAAGACUCAAAACAGCACAAUACUAACAAUUAGACUCAAAACAAACUCUAGGGAGUUAUUUGGACGAAUUUAAGACUAUUAAGACUCAAAACACUAAAUUGGGCAGAUUGAAACAAGUUUCUAACUAAACUAACACACUUAAUUAAAGGGGGAUUGUUUUGACGAAAUUAAAACUAAAACAAAGAACUUGCAGAAACAAAGCAAUUUAAAAACGAAUUUAAGUGAAUUCAAGGGUGAAAAUAGAGGAUCAUUCUCCACACAUGAACAUAUGCAACAUAAAUCGAUUUCCAGUAUUGUUUCUUUAAACCAUGAAUGACAAUGCCCUAAAUUAAUCGUGAAUGCACAAAUUAACUCUCAUAUUUCCCUAAAUUCAUUGAAUUGAAUGGACAAUGCAUCGCAACCAAAUUAUUCUUCUCAAGUUCCCUAUAUGAACAGCAUGAUAUAGAUACAUUCAAAGAUCAUUAAAUUCCAUGGAAAUCAUAAGCAUUGACAAGGCUAUCGUAACUAUGAACUGCAUGAUACUCCAACCAAGAAUCUACUUAACACGAUUGUGACACUAACUGAAUCUGUAUGCUAGGCCAAGAGCGGAGGAUAUAAUAUAGGGUAAACCAACGGAUUUGGUAAUAUAAUCUAUUGUGCAAUCUCCACUACUUUUAAUUAUAAGUCGAUUAGGUAAAAGUCCCUUAUAAUUUAGUAUCAGAUUCAUGUAUGCAAACUAAGUAUGCAUCCAUAAUCAACACACAAAAAUAAGUUAUCAAUCAAAUAGAUAAGUAAAUCACAUUCAUGUUUUACGAAACAAUAACUGAAAAGAAUCAAUUCAUAUUAAACAUAUGUCCAUGGCUUUGAAUUCACCUCUAACUAAAAAGAAAUUAGUUCCUCAUGUUCACAAUUAAACAAAGAUAACUUAAAUUAAACAUUGAAAACAAAGAUAGAAUACACCUAGAAACGCUUCAACAAUCCAACGUCUUGAAUGGCAAGCACGGCUCCAAGGGCUCCUCUCCUUUCUCCUUGCAAAGCUGUUGCACUAGAGGGAUGUAUGGAACAAAAUUGUGAUGGAAGAUGGUCUGAAUUGUGGUGAAUGGUUGUUUGUACGAAUUUGUGGUGAAAGGUGGAUGGUGUGGUGAUCUGAUGGUAGAGGGUGGUGGUUUGAAUUGUGAAAGAAAAUAUGUAUUUAUAGGGAGAAAAGGCACAGCAAAAAGGGUUGAAUUAAGACUCCAAAUCAGCAAAGAACAAGGACAAUUUUCACCAGAUUCCAAGGAUGAAAAGGAGUAGGAAAUUCGUUAUAUUUCUAAGGGGAAGAAGGAUCAGGUUAUUUGCAUUAUUUCAGGGCUUCUAGAUUAGAUAUUAGGCAUUCAAAUGUGAUAAGGAGUCCCCCUUGCAGCUAGAUUUAAGGCAUGAUAAGAUUGGGAUAGGAUAAGAUAAGAUAAGGUUAGUUUAGAUAAGAUAAGGUUGGAUAGGGUUUUGGAUAAUGUUCUUCCUUUUAGCUAAUUCCUUAUCUUCUUUAUCUUGGAUUUACUUCUUCACUCUUUUCAGCAUAUUCCUAGCCUCUUGAACUUCAAAUUCGUCCAUCCAUCUUGCCCCACUCAUAAGUUAUCCAUUUGGUGCCCAAAACUGCCUCAAAGUGCUCCAAAUUGCACUUUCAUGCCAACUUUGUCAUUUGGACCUACAAACACACGAAAAUAGCUUAAAUCACUAUAAUAAACACAAACUAACUACGAAAAUGCAAGAAAACAAGCUAACUAAGUCGCAUAAAUAUGCUCUUAUCAGCCAACCAUCUUUCUUAUCCAUCUUCAUCGUUCGGAAGUUUUUCAUGUUCUUAAGAUUUUUAAUUAUGUUUACGCAUUCUAUGAGUAACUAAACUUUUCUUCUAGGAUUAGGAUGCCCUAGCAUGGAUGUUUAUGGUUUUUAAUGUAUUCAUUGGAUUUAUUGUUCCUUUCAGAUGAAUGCUUAAUCACUGUUUGAAUUGUUACUUUUGUUUGAGUUCUUUGAUUGAUCACCAUAGGACUUUGCAUUUAGUAAGAUUAGAAGAUGAAUUUGAGGCUGAACUAGCAAUAUAAUUCAAUUAGCUUCUUAUGGUUAUGUGUGACAGCUCGUCCCGCAUUAACACUUUCGUUUGUGUGAAGUGUGUUUAAUUAUCCUAAUUCUUUUUAAAGUUGGUUGAUAAUGGACGGAUAGGGACGUUUUCGGCCGUAUAUGUUUGAAUGAUUAAACUUUAGAAUCCUAUGCCCUCACGGGGCUUACAGAAAUCAUUCCUUUUCCCUUUUACUUUCUUUAAUCCGUGAUUUCCUCAACCUUGUCCUCUCACUCAUUCUCUCUAUCUCUCCCCAACAAACUCUCAAGCUCUCAUUCACUCUCCCUCCCUCUCAAACCACACGGCCAAACACACGGACCAACAUUAGAACUCUCUCAAAUCUUCAUAGAUCGAAGAAAAUAAAACCACCAUCGUCUUCGUCUCAACGAUACGAGUCCAACCAUACCUAUUUCAGGUAAGAUCUCUAACGUUUUCACGUCGAAAUCACGAGCACCGAUUUGGGUACUAUUCAUCAACUUUUUAUUGGUUGAUUUUUAGGACUUUUCAAGCUUAUAGGAGGCUUCUUGAGGUCCUUAGGAGGCUCGGAGUAGUUCGUUGGAAGUUUUUGGACGUAAGAACACGGAGAUCGACAAGUUCAAAGU